rnacentral:rRNA from 1 species
GCGGGCCUAUCUGUCUCUUACAAUAAAUCAAUUAAACUGAUCUUCUAGUAAAAAAGCUAGAAUCCACCACAAGACCAGAAGACCCUGUGAAGCUUAAACUAAACUAUUAAACCCCAUAAUAUCUACUUUAGGUUGGGGCGACCUUGGAAAAAAAAAGAACUUCCAAACACAUGACCACACUCAUUCAUCAGGCCCACAAGCCUUAUAAAAGACCCAGUACGACUGAUAAUUGAACCAAGUUACUCCAGGGAUAACAGCGCUAUCUUCUUCAAGAGUCCAUAUCAAAAAGAAGGUUUACGACCUCGAUGUUGGAUC